rnacentral:misc_RNA from 1 species
ACGUCAUCCCCUACACGAACGCCAUCGCCGCCUACACGCGCUCGCCAUCGUUCGCGGUCGUGUCGGGCAGCGGCACGCAAGGCCUCAUCAUGGUGGGCCAGCCGGGGAUCAAGACGUUUGCCGACAUGCGCGGCAAGCGCGUCGGGACCUUCCAGGCCGACACGCUCGACAUCCUCGUGUACGACUACUUGAAGAAGCAGGGCAUGACAUACAAAGACGUCAAGAUGCAGUACCUCGGCAACAGUGUGGAGCUGACCAACGCGUUCAUCGCCGGCCAGCUCGACGUGAUGAGCUCGAUCGAGCCGUACGCCACCCGGGGUCUCAUGGCGACCAAGGGCAAUGUGCUCGGCGACGGCGUCGACAUGUACGGGG